UACGAAGGGGGCAAGCGUUGUUCGGAAUUACUGGGCGUAAAGCGCGCGUAGGCGGCUCAUCAAGUCAGAGGUGAAAGCUCAGAGCUCAACUCUGGAACUGCCUUUGAAACUGGUGAUCUUGAGUACGGGAGAGGUGAGUGGAAUUCCCAGUGUAGAGGUGAAAUGCGUAGAUAUCGGGAGGAACACCGGUGGCGAAGGCGGCUCACUGGCCCGUAACUGACGCUGAGGCGCGAUAGCGUGGGGAGCAAACAGG
rnacentral:rRNA from 1 species